rnacentral:rRNA from 1 species
GACGAACGCUGGCGGCGUGCCUAAUACAUGCAGGUCGAACGAGAGCGACCGGUGCUUGCACUGGUCAAUCUAGUGGCGAACGGGUGAGUAACACGUGGGUAACCUGCCCAUCAGAGGGGGAUAACAUCCGGAAACGGAUGCUAAAACCGCAUAGGUCUUCGAACCGCAUGGUUUGAAGAGGAAAAGAGGCGCAAGCUUCUGCUGAUGGAUGGACCCGCGGUGCAUUAGCUAGUUGGUGAGGUAACGGCUCACCAAGGCCGUGAUGCAUAGCCGACCUGAGAGGGUGAUCGGCCACAUUGGGACUGAGACACGGCCCAAACUCCUACGGGAGGCAGCAGUAGGGAAUCUUCCGCAAUGGACGCAAGUCUGACGGAGCAACGCCGCGUGAGUGAAGAAGGUGUUCGGAUCGUAAAACUCUGUUGUUAGAGAAGAACAAGUGCUAGAGUAACUGUUAGCGCCUUGACGGUAUCUAACCAGAAAGCCACGGCUAACUACGUG